rnacentral:rRNA from 1 species
CCCUUAGAUGUUCUGGGCGGCCCGCGCACUACAAUGGCGUGUGCAGCGAGUGCCGAAGUAGAGUUUUCCGAGGUAUUCUUGCAAUGCUCGUUUUGAUGGGGAUAGACCCUUGCAACUGUUGGUUUUGAACGAGGAAUUCCUUGUAAGCAUGGUUUAUCAUCCGACGCUGAGUGCGUCCCUGCCCUUUGUACACACCGCCCGUCGCUCCUACCGAUGAGUCGUCCGGUGAAGUUCGUAGACCUCGUGAUUGCGGAUCACUGGGGGAAGCAAAAUGAACCUCGCGGUUUAGAGGAAGGAGAAGUCGUAACA